UGGGGAAUCGUCUAAAGGUAGGACGCCGGACUUUGACUCCGUCUGUCCAGGUUCGAAUCCUGGUUCCCCAGCCA
rnacentral:tRNA from 1 species